rnacentral:rRNA from 1 species
GCUCAGAUUGAACGCUGGCGGCAGGCCUAACACAUGCAAGUCGGACGGUAGCACAGAGGAGCUUGCUCCUCGGGUGACGAGUGGCGGACGGGUGAGUAAUGUCUGGGGAUCUGCCCGAUAGAGGGGGAUAACCACUGGAAACGGUGGCUAAUACCGCAUAACGUCGCGAGACCAAAGAGGGGGACCUUCGGGCCUCUCACUAUCGGAUGAACCCAGAUGGGAUUAGCUAGUAGGCGGGGUAACGGCCCACCUAGGCGACGAUCCCUAGCUGGUCUGAGAGGAUGACCAGCCACACUGGAUCUGAGACACGGUCCAGACUCCUACGGGAGGCAGCAGUGGGGAAUAUUGCACAAUGGGCGCAAGCCUGAUGCAGUCAUGCCGCGUGUAUGAAGAAGGCCUUCGGGUUGUAAAGUACUUUCAGCGGGGAGGAAGGCAGUGAGGUUAAUAACCUUACUGAUUGACGUUACCCGCAGAAGAAGCACCGGCUAACUCCGUGCCAGCAGCCGCGGUAAUACGGAGGGUGCAAGCGUUAAUCGGAAUUACUGGGCGUAAAGCGCACGCAGGCGGUCUGUUAAGUCAGAUGUGAAAUCCCCGGGCUUAACCUGGGAACUGCAUUUGAACUGGCAGGCUUGAGUCUCGUAGAGGGGGGUAGAAUUCCAGGUGUAGCGGUGAAAUGCGUAGAGAUCUGGAGGAAUACCGGUGGCGAAGGCGGCCCCCUGGACGAAGACUGACGCUCAGUGCGAAAGCGUGGGGAGCAAACAGGAUUAGAUA